CCUACGGGAGGCAGCAGUGAGGAAUAUUGGUCAAUGGGCGGAAGCCUGAACCAGCCAAGUAGCGUGCAGGAUGACGGCCCUACGGGUUGUAAACUGCUUUUAUACGGGAAUAACGCGCCUUACGUGUAGGGCUUUGCAUGUACCGUAUGAAUAAGGACCGGCUAAUUCCGUGCCAGCAGCCGCGGUAAUACGGACGGUCCGGGCGUUAUCCGGAUUUAUUGGGUUGUAAGGGAGCGUAGGCCGCAUGUCAAGCGUGCUGUGAAAUGUCCGGGCUCACCCCGGGCCUUGCCGCGCGAACUUGCGUGCUUGAUUCCGCGGCACGCAGGCGUAAUUCGUCGUGUAGCGGU
rnacentral:rRNA from 1 species